rnacentral:rRNA from 1 species
CUACGGGAGGCUCCAGUGGGGAAUUUUGGACAAUGGGCGCAAGCCUGAUCCAGCAAUGCCGCGUGCAGGAUGAAGGCCUUCGGGUUGUAAACUGCUUUUGUACGGAGCGAAAAGGCUCUCUCUAAUACAGGGGGCUCAUGACGGUACCGUAAGAAUAAGCACCGGCUAACUACGUGCCAGCAGCCGCGGUAAUACGUAGGGUGCAAGCGUUAAUCGGAAUUACUGGGCGUAAAGGGCGCGUAGGCGGACCUUCAAGUCGGAUGUGAAAACUGGCAGCUUAACUGCAAGCCUGCAUUCGAUACUGUCGGUCUUGAGUACAGUAGGGGAAAGCGGAAUUCCAGGUGUAGCGGUGAAAUGCGUAGAUAUCUGGAAGAACACCAGUAGCGAAGGCGGCUUUCUGGACUGAUACUGACGCUGAAGCGCGAAGGCUAGGGUAGCAAACAGGAUUAGAUACCCUGGUAGUC